GGAGGCGGUGCAAGGCAGGCAGACGUUGCUCCCUGCUCACGAGGCACGCGCGCCCCCUGGAGGCCACGCGCCCCUCCAGCUGCUAGGAGCCUCGCGCCGCCUGGUGGCGCAAACUCCCGUGGAGCUUUCGGUUAGCCGCAGGGAGGGAGCUUGGUGGCGGCGUCCGGCGCGUGGGGGGCAAGGGAGGAGCCGGGUCUGUGCUCUGUUAACGGCCGUUUGUGGAACGGAGGCAGGUUUUCCCCUUUCAACACAUGGAAAAAAUAGAGUGCUGGGAACAGAUAUAUACAGUAAAUUGCUGCUAACCAGAAUCCUCGGAGACUAAAUCCUGGAGCACCUUAAAUGAGCCAGAUUGACGUGGUUGACUGGGCCCUUCCGGAUUGUCAUGCAGCAUCCUGUACACAUCAGAUUGAGGUACAGAGGUUGGUACUGGUUCACUGCAACAUAGGCAAGGGAUGAGCAGCUGAAUGUUCACUCCUGGAUGUUAAAAGGAAAUUGCUUCAUUUAUCACCAUUUUUGAAAAAUAUGACAGAAGUUUAGAGUAUCGGAAAAGAAAAAUAAAACAGCAAGAGCUGGACUUCUGAAUGGACAACAAAACAGAGAGUAGUAUUGCCACAAAAGACCAUGUAAUGUAAGUAAAUACCAAUACUUACUUUUGAGGUGAACUAGGAAUUAGACCCCUCAGUUGUCCCUGAAGAG